rnacentral:rRNA from 1 species
CCUACGGGCGGCAGCAGUGGGGAAUAUUGCACAAUGGGGGAAACCCUGAUGCAGCGACGCCGCGUGAGUGAAGAAGUAUUUCGGUACGUAAAGCUCUAUCAGCAGGGAAGAAAAUGACGGUACCUGACUAAGAAGCCCCGGCUAACUACGUGCCAGCAGCCGCGGUAAUACGUAGGGGGCAAGCGUUAUCCGGAUUUACUGGGUGUAAAGGGAGCGUAGACGGCAGCGCAAGUCUGGAGUGAAAUCCCAUGGCUUAACCAUGGAACUGCUUUGGAAACUGUGCAGCUAGAGUGCAGGAGAGGUAAGCGGAAUUCCUAGUGUAGCGGUGAAAUGCGUAGAUAUUAGGAGGAACACCAGUGGCGAUGGCGGCUUACUGGACUGUAACUGACGUUGAGGCUCGAAAGCGUGGGGAGCAAACAGGAUUAGAUACCCCUGUAGUC